UACGAAGGGGGCUAGCGUUGCUCGGAAUCACUGGGCGUAAAGCGCACGUAGGCGGAUCGUUAAGUCAGGGGUGAAAGCCCGAGGCUCAACCUCGGAACUGCCUUCGAUACUGCGGGUCUCGAGUCCGGGAGAGGUGAGUGGAAUUCCUAGUGUAGAGGUGAAAUUCGUAGAUAUUAGGAAGAACACCAGUGGCGAAGGCGGCUCACUGGCCCGGUACUGACGCUGAGGCGCGAAAGCGUGGGGAGCAAACAGG
rnacentral:rRNA from 1 species